AUUGAACGCUGGCGGCAGGCCUAACACAUGCAAGUCGAACGAGUGGCGGACGGGUGAGUAAUGUCUGGGAAACUGCCUGAUGGAGGGGGAUAACUACUGGAAACGGUAGCUAAUACCGCAUACCAUCAGAUGUGCCCAGAUGGGAUUAGCUAGUAGGUGGGGUAAUGGCUCACCUAGGCGACGAUCCCUAGCUGGUAUGAGAGGAUGCCCAGCGAAACUGGAACUGAGACACGGUCCAGACUCCUACGGGAGGCAGCAGUGGAGAAUAUUGCACAAUGGGCGCAGGCCUGAUGCAGCCAUGCCGCGUGUGUGAAGAAGGCCUUCGGGUUGUAAAGCACUUUCAGCGAGGAGGCGUUACUCGCAGAAGAAGCACCGGCUAACUCCGUGCCAGCAGCCGCGGUAAUUC
rnacentral:rRNA from 1 species